rnacentral:tRNA from 1 species
GCACCCGUAGUUCAAUGGAUAGAAUACCGGAUUCCGGUUCCGAUGAUAUGAGUUCGAUUCUCAUCGGGUGUACAA